rnacentral:lncRNA from 1 species
UGAAGCUGGCUAGGGAAGCUGGAUUUGUGAAGUUUUGUGAAGUUGGAGGAGAUCAGAAUAGGCCCUUAUACUGCCCUUAUCAAGUAGAAGGCAGUUCUUUCACUCCCAGUGCAUGCAGUCUAUGUUGCCAAGCAUCCCUGAGAAGCCCCUGCAGGGGGUGUCAAGCACUGAUUGGUGCUUUUCCGCAGGCUUGCCAACAAGCGGGCUGUAGCUUGAGCAUUGGGCUCCGUCAAGUACCCAGGGCCAAAUAAUGCAAUCACAGCCUUGCAGAACCUGUACCGUGACUCUAGGCAUGUAGACUCGCUCAUACGGACGUAUUCAUCACUAAGAUCACCGGGCACUCUAUAUGGAAGCAUCCGGAUAGCUGUAGUACAUUUCUGAUAAGAUGAGAAGUCAAUCUUUCGAAGGGCAUCCUCCUUGCACUCGAAAUAAUCAUCGUAUCCAACUACCCCCUCUCGAAUACGGUUAAAAACAUGCCUAGCCAUAUGGAAACACCACCGGAAUUUGUCAUGUUAAUUUGAAUAGCGGGUGAUCUGUGUUGAAGUAGUCCUUCCAAAGAAGGAAAUGGCUGCUCUCUCGGUUGCGAUUCAACGCCGGAAUGUGCCCCGGGAUGGAGCCACGGAAUAACGGCUGCUGGCUAUUAAGGUGGUGAUCGACCAACACGACAACAAAGAUCUCCUCCGCAUCAUCGGACAAGGAAUCGUCUGAGUCGCAAAGGAAAUUAUGAAAAAAGAACUUGUCGGCGGAGUCCAUUUUGUACCUUGGUAAAUUGUCGAACAGGUUGCGGGAGUCGACGAAGGAGCCGGCCGGCGAAGCAAGGCGCGCCUCCCUUGGACCAGGUGGCUAGCUUGGAGGCGUCCCACGAGCUUUCCUGUGUUAGGGCGAAGGAGCUGGCGGGGCCGGUGAUGCGGCUUCCUGCUCGCAGCGGCGUGGGGGAGGUGGGGGGCAGGAAGGAGCUGCGUCGGUGAGACGGUGGUGGCGGUGACGUGGGAGGGGGUGGCGGCGUUGGGGGAGAUGUGUCGGCACUAUUGUUGGCAGAGGCACCGGAAAAUGGGCGGCGACAGCGACACAGGGUCAGAGGGUUUGCUAUCAACCUUGGGGUGGGAGAGGAUGGUCAAUGUGCCACCGACUAAUGGGCCAGGGGGAGUAGGCGGGUGACGCGCGUGUUCAUUUUAUGUCCGCGCCGACACAAAUGAAGCUCAAAAAGGCCGGGAAUGGAUCGGUCGUCGGAUGAAAAGCGGACGUACGCCUAUUUCGAUCGACGCGUUGGGCUAACUUUUCUGUCCGCGUCGACCUAAACGGAUGGUCGCGCACGAAAUGGAUCGACAUCUCCUCAAAAUCGAAUGUGACGAACAUACAUAUCGAUCCAUUGCGUAGAACGCACCCGACAAUUGCAUGAAAGCUGGGAACAGGCGCCCUUUUUUUAUCCGGUUGAUGCAUGGAAGCAACUGUGGAUGCAUGUAAUGUAAACGCCACACGUGUUAAGUAUUACUCGAGGCAACUCCGGAACACGAGCUCUCGUCAACUCGUCGGGGCACGGGACGGCGUGCGCGCCCACGCGCCCUCGCGCAAUCGUCGGAUCGAUUGCCACGCCGAGCAUCUCGCGUCUUCCGCGCAGGUCGCCAUGCACGUCGUCGUCGUCAUGGCCCCCUCGCCGUGCAUAAAUAUAUGCUGCAUCUUCUUUCCCGUCCAUGCCCAUCUCAUCCCGCAGUACGUAGCCUUUUGUAGCCAAGUAGUAGCAGGUAGUAUAGUCGCCGGCAGGAAGCAGCAACCAUGGGUUCUUCCAAGCGUAAUGGCAGCGCUCUGUUGUGCCUCCUGCUCGCCGGGCUUCUACUGCUGGCCGUGACGGCGGUGAAGGUGGAGGCCGGAUGGGGCUGCGUUGAUAGAUGCGUCGAGGGAGGUGGUGCGGACGCCUACGCGUGCUCUUUUGUCUGCAUCUGGAAUCUCCGGCGUGACGGCGGCACUGGCGCCGGCAGCUGGGCCAGGAUGCGGGGAGAAAUCCUUCCGGUGGAACUGAAAGGAGAGAGGGAAGACUGCAUCGAAAGAUGCAUGGAUUUAGGACUGGACUUCUUUGAGUGCUUGUUUCAUGUGUGCUGAGGCUAGUGUAUGUACAUGUGGUUUGCAUGCUACAGCUAGCAGCUAGCUAGCUGAUGUUUGACGUGCGGCGUGCGUGUUAUUUAGAUCUAUCCGGCCGGCUUAUUUUCUUUCUUUGAAGCGCGAAUCGGUUGCUUGAAAUAAACGUGGAUUUGCUACAUGGUAGUCGAGUGUUUUACAUAUUGUCAUGCUAUAUAGAAAACGUUUUCAUACUCCCUCGGUCUCCUUUUACAUUGCAUACUACUCCCUCUGACCCAUUAUAUAAG